rnacentral:rRNA from 1 species
CGCACGGGUGAGUAACACGUAAGUAAUCUACCUUCGAGUGGGGAAUAACGUCCGGAAACGGACGCUAAUACCGCAUAAUGCAGCGGCACCUAAUGGUGACGGUUGUUAAAGGAGCAAUUCGCUUGAAGAGGAGCUUGCGGCAGAUUAGCUAGUUGGUAAGGUAACGGCUUACCAAGGCUACGAUCUGUAACCGGUCUAAGAGGACGGUCGGUCACACUGACACUGAAUAACGGGUCAG